GUGACAUUGGCCAAUCACAAUGCCACAAUGUUUGUGUUUCUAGAGUUGGGUGACAUUGGCCAAUCACAAUGCCACAAUGUUUGUGUUUCUCUCUCUUUCACAAGCAUUGUGGCAUUGUGAUUGGCCAAUGUCAC
rnacentral:pre_miRNA from 1 species